rnacentral:ncRNA from 2 species
AUUUUCAUUAACUAAAUAAUUCGUAUAACCUCACGGAAAUGGCUUAAAAGGGUGAGGGUUUCUACGGGAAGCCUUAACUUCCUAACUACGAAUAUGCGAUCAUUUUUU